UAAAAAAAGUGUUAAAUAUUUACAUAAAAAUUAUAUUUUGUAAUAUAGAUAAAGACUAUAACUACUUAAAUAUAAUUAAUUAUCUUAUUAGCACUAAUAUCCUUCGGACGUCAAGCACGAAGCAAUAGAUGCUCGCUGGCUUGCCGCUCCAAUCGUUCGUUUCCGCCGUCGCCCAGCCUCCCUUGCGAGCAUGCAUCAACCCCUCGUCACCGGCGGUUCCCCUCCCACGGCCGCGGUCGCUGAUGAAGCUCGUGGAUCCGGCGACCUCGCAUCACUGGGUCUCGCGACGCCGGCGGCCUAGGGCGUAUGCUCACUUGACGUCACCGUCCAGAUGUGUAGACCAGCAGGGUGCGGGGGUGCGUGAAGCCCAUGGAUGUGGGUGGCGGUCUAAGCACAGACCAAGAAAGUUUGCCAUGGAUUUGAGAUCUGCCUUUAGGCCACCCACAGUGUGUGAAAAAGUCGGUGCUUCACCGGGAGAGGGAAAGACGAGGCACCGAUGCCGGCCACUGCAGCACUCGAUGCUACAAGAAUUUUCCGGCACCGAAGCAAGUAGAACCACCGAUGCCUGGGAAAAAAAUUGGGCUGGUCCACUCCGUGCUUAGGCUCGGGUGUCGGGUCCCCCUCGGCCGCGCGCCCGUCGGACUCCGGGCUUCACCUCGACGACGAUUUGGGGCUUGAUUUGUCCGAUUUGCGAAGGAUUUGUUGGAAUUGGGGCUGAAUUGGAUCGAUUUGGUCUUGGAUUGAGUGAGUUUGGUUCUAGAUUAUUGAUCAUGAAUAAUAUUGUUGAUUUUUAAGACCUGAAAAUUCAUGAAUCGGACCCUGGUGUCCUGUUUUUGACCGGGUAGAUCUUCUUCUUUAUAUAUGUCGUCAUGGCACAAUUCAUUGAAGUCUUCCUCGUCCUCAACUAUCGUACUAUGCAGAAUCAUACAUGAUAUGUUCAAGUUCUUGCCUUUUGCCAUAGUCGUGCUCGUUCAACUAUAAUAGUCCAACGUUUUUGCAGAACCUAAAAGCACAUUCGACAUCUUUUCUUGCUGCCUCUUCAUGCCGAGCAAACAAUUCAUUCUUCUGGCUUAGAGGUGCAGGGUUUGUUUUGACAAAUGUUGUUCACUUGGGAGAAAUUCUAUCAGCUAAGUAGUGCCUCCAUAUUAUAUUUUGACCUAUUAACAGUAAAUGUAACUUCUAGA